rnacentral:lncRNA from 1 species
CGUGGUUCUGCGUGGGCUCCUCUCCACGGGCUGCAGCUUGGGUCCGGGUUCUGCUCCUGUGUGGCCUCUCCAUGGGCCACAGCCACCUGCUCCACCGGGGGCUCCUCCACGGUCUGCAGAGUGGAGAUCUGCUCCAUGUGGGACCCAUGGGUGCAGGGGGUAGCCUGCUCCACCAGGGGCCUCUCCACAGGCCGCAGGGGAACUUGUGCUGCAUGCCUGGAGCACCUCCUGCCCUCCUGCUGCACUGACCUUGGUGCCUGCAGGGCUGGUUCUCACUCCAUCCUCUGCCACCUGUUGAUGUGCAGCAGGUUUUCUUCCUUUCUUAAAUAUUCUCUCACAGAGGUACAGUCAACAUCAAUUUUUGGCUCGUCUUUGGCCUGCAGCAGGUCCCUUUAGAGCAGUCUGACACUGGCCCUUUUCAAAUAGGAGGCAGCUUCUGGGUGAGUUCCCCAGAACUGGGUGAGCUUCAAUGUGGUGAGUUCCCCAGGAAGUCCACCACUCCCAGGUGAGUGAUUCCCUCCUACAGCCCCAGAAACUGGAGCAUGGGGAGUGGGCGUGCUGUGCUGCCUUCCCCAGGGCAUGGGGACAAGCAGGAGCUUCACCAGGCAGGAGCUGUGCCAACUGCAGGGACACGUCCUGCUCCCUGCCUCUCCCCAUCACACCCCGCUGCCCUCACACCCCUUGUCCUGCAGCUCCCCAUACCCGGAUCCGGCACGCCCUCCCCACAGGCACAGCGCUGGCAGUGGCAGCCGUCGGCCUUGUCAUUGUGGCUGCAGGCAGCUGGUUUGCCAUCAGGAAAGGUGCGUGCAGAGGGAGAUGCCCAAGGCAGCAGCACGUUGACAGCCCACAGAUGGAAACCACAGACCAUAGCGAAGUCACAUACUCCACCAUCGCCCACGUUCGACGGGACAGGGUGAGUCAUGGCACAGCUGUGCACAGCUCCUUUCUGC